rnacentral:rRNA from 1 species
GUGAAUAUUUCAUUGACGUAUCAGGUUAACUAGGCUAAUUGAACUACAUAUGGUAGCCCACACACAUUGUGCCUUAGAGUCAACUCAUGUAAAGCCUUUAAUAGGUUUAACUAUAGUGUAAGUUGACUUCAGGACUUCAUCACCAAUUGAACCUAAGGUUAUAACCCCACAACACCAAUGUCCUAUAUUAGGCUAGCUAGGACACUAGGCCCUAGAAAACAAGCCAACAGAGGUGGCAAAAAUGGUGCCAGCAGUCGCGGUUAUACCAUUACCUCAAGUUAACCCACACAAACAGGGAUCAACCACAAGACUAAAAAAUUAACUUUCUACGUAAAAAAUAAAUUAUAACUAAACCCAACUAAGUCAUUUUUACUACAAAUCCCAACAAACCACAACCUCAAAACCCGGAUUAGAUACCCGGCUAUUGUGUGGCCCAACACAAAAAGAAUACUACAAGCGAAAGCUCAAACCUCAAACAAUGUGGCGGUGCUUAACUCCUCAUCAGGGGAUCCUGUGUCUUAAAUCGAUAAUCCACGAAAACCUUAGCUUUCUUAGUACUCAGCUUGUGUAUGGCCGUUUAUGCUUGCUCAAAAAAGAUUAAAAAGGAAGCAAUAGAGUUACACCCCUUAAUUCAGGUGACAUACAGCCAAUAGAAAGCUGACUCAUGGGAUACAAAUAAAUACACUACCAGAAUUGAAAAUCAAACUUUUUAAUAAAGGAGGACUUGAAAGUAAGAUGAUACAUCACAUAAAGGUAAUCUGAACAAGAACUUAAGCGCGCACAAAUCGCCCGUCACUCCGGCAGUAAAGCCGGACAAGUCGUAACACAGUAGGGGUAAUGGAAAUUGCCCCUAUCAC